rnacentral:lncRNA from 1 species
UCAACACUUCCCCUGACAAAUGAUGAAGCACAUUGAACUGAGAGAGAACCAAUUCUCAGUAAAAGGGACCUCUUCUCAAUUAUUUUAACCACUUUAGCUUGAGACUGUUUGAUUUGAUCAUUCUGCAAUAAGGUGUAAAAGCAAUUACAAAUUGCGAAAAAAAAUUCCACAAUCUUAACAUUAAGGAGAGGUUAUGCAUGAAUUUCAUACCUAAAAGAAAGAAUCAUUAAAACUGUUAACAAUAAAAAAAAUUAAACAGUGGCAUAGUCUCAAGUCCUGACUUCAACCGGAAUCUGACUCAAAUGAAGGCGACUACUUCAGCUAUGAACUAUUGUUAUGUCAUUCCAAACUAUAGCUGACAAAGAAAAGUUCAAUUAUACAUAUAAUAUAAAAUAACAUGUAUGAUGUAAAACUUGAGGAAACAGUCGUCUAUAAACAACAGACGAAAAUAAUACUUUUUCAUUCCAGAAGCAGAUGGAUUCAAGAAGUCCUAAAAUAUCAUUGAAAUUAAAUAAAGAAACCCUAUUAUUUUUUGAAGAAGAUCUAAAUCAUGAAAAAAUUGGUGAUCAAAUAAUGAGUUCUUCGUCUUCCCUAUAUUUUUUUUAAUCAGAAAAAGGAAAAGAAGGCCCAAGAGGAAAGACUUGGGAAAAUGAGAUAAAAGAACCGAUACUUCUAGAGAGUAACUGAACCCAGAUACGAUGUUUGAUAAGUUGUCCAUAACCUCUAGCAAUUGGUACCGGUUUGUAUAAUUAUUGAUAAACAAACAGAGUUCAAUUCCAUAAAAUAUGAACUUUUUGUUAGAUCAGUCAGUAAUUAGUAAUUUGUUAUUUUCUUAAGGAUAAAUAAUCGCAAUAUGUAAGGACAACAUAAACCUUCACAUCAACCAUGGAUUUUAGCCAUAAAAUUAGUAGAGAGAAUGUUAAGUAAAGUGGAAGAAAAUUGUUACAGAAUUUGUAGAACAUACCUGGAUUAUGAAGACUUGCUAAUCGAUUCACUGUUAUUGGAACAAUAGGGAUGUAAAUCAUUCGUUCGUCUUCCGUUUGGCGUGUGAAAGAUGAAAGACUGAUGAUUUGAG